AGUGAACGCUGGCGGUAGGCCUAACACAUGCAAGUCGAACGGCAGCACAGUAAGAGCUUGCUCUUACGGGUGGCGAGUGGCGGACGGGUGAGGAAUACAUCGGAAUCUACUUUUUCGUGGGGGAUAACGUAGGGAAACUUACGCUAAUACCGCAUACGACCUACGGGUGAAAGGAGGGGAUCUUCGGACCUUGCGCGAUUGAAUGAGCCGAUGUCGGAUUAGCUAGUUGGCGGGGUAAAGGCCCACCAAGGCGACGAUCCGUAGCUGGUCUGAGAGGAUGAUCAGCCCACCUGGACCUGAGACACGGUCCAGACUCCUACGGGAGGCAGCAGUGGGGAAUAUUGGACAAUGGGCGCAAGCCUGAUCCAGCCAUACCGCGUGGGUGAAGAAGGCCUUCGGGUUGUAAAGCCCUUUUGUUGGGAAAGAAAAGCAGCAGGUUAAUACCCCGCUGUUCUGACGGUACCCAAAGAAUAAGCACCGGCUAACUUCGU
rnacentral:rRNA from 1 species